rnacentral:rRNA from 1 species
UACGGAGGUGGCGAGCGUUGUUCGGAAUUACUGGGCGUAAAGGGUGUGUAGGCGGUCGGACGUGUUCGGUGUGAAAGCCCCCGGCUCACUCGGGGAACUGCAUCGAAAACUGUCCGGCUUGAGUGCAGGAGAGGAGAAUGGAAUUUCUGGUGUAGCGGUGAAAUGCGUAGAUAUCAGAAGGAACGCCAAUGGCGAAAGCAGUUCUCUGGCCUGUUACUGACGCUGAGGCACGAAAGCCAAGGGAG